AUGUUGUCUUCAAGACAAAAAUUAGAUGUUUAUAAACAAACGUACAAUCAGCUUGGACACGAGUUGUCAAACAAUGAUCAUGUCCGAGCAAUUUUAAAUCUGAGCUACCAUGACCUUUCAGACGAUCUCAGAAACUGCUUCUUGUACUGCAGUCUCUUCCCUGAAGACUACCCCAUGUCACGUGACAGCCUUGUGAGGCUGUGGGUUGCAGAAGGCUUUGUGCCGAGUAAGGGAAAGAACACGCCAGAGAUGGUAGCUGAGGGAAAUCUCAUGGAGCUGGUCCACCGCAAUAUGCUUGAGGUGGUGGAGUAUGAUGAGCUUGGCAGGGUCAGCUUCUGUAAGAUGCAUGAUAUUAUGCGUGAACUGGCUAGUUCUGUUGCUAAAGAAGAGAGAUUUGCUUCAACAGAUGAUUACGACACGAUGAUGGAUAUUCGUCGUCUGUCAUCAUGUGAAUGGAAAGAGGACACUGCACGGAAAGCUGAACUUUCACAUCUUCGAACAGUAGUGUCAGUAAUUCCAUCCUCGCCUGACAUGCUAUCAUCAAUUUUAUCUGCAUCGAACUACCUUACUGUUCUUGAGCUGCAAGACUCUGAAAUAACUGAAGUGCCAAAAUCGAUUGGGUCUCAGUUCAAUCUGCGUUACAUCGGGUUACGGCGCACCAAGGUCAAGGCACUUCCGGACUCUAUUGAGCAUUUGUCUCGCCUCCACACCCUCGACAUCAAGCAAACCAAAAUAGAGAAGCUACCACGAGGGCUUUUCAAGAUCAAGAAGCUGCAGCAUCUUUUCGCCGAUAGAUAUGUUGAUGAGAAGCAGGUGGAGUUUCGGUACUUUAAUGGAAUGCAAGCACCUAAAGAGCUGUCGAACUUGCAAGAACUGCAAACUCUUGAGACCGUGGAAUCCAGCAAUGACCUGGCCGAACAGCUGCAGAAAUUGAUGCAACUAAGAAGUCUGUGGAUUGAUAACAUUAGUGCCGCUGAGUGUGCAAAUCUGUUUGUUACCCUUUCAAAUAUGCCGCUUCUUUCAAGCUUGCUUCUUUGUGCAAGGGAUGAGAAUGAGGCACUUUGCUUUCAGGCUCUCCAGCCAAGGUCUACAGAUCUACACAAGUUGAUUAUCAGAGGGAAAUGGGCCAAGGGGACACUAAAUUGCCCGAUAUUUCUGAAGCAUGGGACACAUCUCAAGUAUCUAGCUCUAAGCUGGUGUCACCUUGUGGAAGAUCCACUGGAGAUACUUGCGCGGCACAUGCCGAACCUCACGUAUCUGAGACUUAACAACAUGCAUGGUGCAAAUACUCUGGCUCUUUCUGCAAAUUCCUUUCCAAACCUGAAGACACUUAUCUUAACGUGCAUGCAUGAUGUCAGUGAGCUAAACAUCAGUGACGGCGCUCUUCCAUGCGUUGAAGGUCUGUAUAUCAUCUCGCUACCGAAGCUUGACAAGGUCCCUCAAGGCAUUGAAUCCCUUCGCGCCCUUAAGAAGCUCACGCUGCAGUGCUUGCACAAGGAUUUCAGAAGUCAAUGGGACACCAACGGAAUGCAUCAGAAGAACUGCAUGUUCCAGAGGUUCGUGUCUAGAUGCAGCAGGUCGGUUCUACCUGCAAUGUUUGUCUUGGAUGGUGCAUCUGUCAUUCACAGUCGUGUGGUACAUUUAAUCAUUCCAGUAAAAUUUGUGAUUAUUCAUACCAUCAGCAACAUUUUACGGUGCUUAUAUGUGUAA
rnacentral:rRNA from 1 species